CAGAUUUAUGUUAGUUCUGUUAGGGCAUCAGCACGUCCCCCUCACAUGGAGGGGCAUUACGGUCAAAUCGAAACUCUUCGUCCAGCAACGAGUGCCCCCUCCCACACCCCACCAACCCAGCCAAUCUCUCUCCCAAACUCUCACCAAAACACUUCAAUUUACCGGAGUUAAUCAAUUUCUUUUGUUUUUGUUUUAAAUUUGGAUUUCAAGUUAAAAUCCAGUUGUAAUUGACUUUUUAAGUUCGGUUCCAAAUCUGGGUUUCCAAAUAUGGGGGCAGAUUGGGGUUGAUUGGGGAUGGAGGUGCGUCGGGGGUGGGAAAGAGAGAGACGAGAGGUGCGUCAGGGUGGGUGGGGGUGUGGGACCCGCGGAGUUCGACCCGUCGGAUGUUCUGGUGGUCGACGACAUUCACAGCUCUUAAUUCACGAUUUCGCCUCCGAGAAGUCGCACAGAGGUGAGGAGCGAUCCAGCAUUUGUUUUCUGGGGUUGAGCCGAGGAGAUCUUGAGGUGAGGCGCGAUUGUUUGGGAGGCAAUGGCUGGAGGCUGACGGGACAGAGGGUGGAGGGUGGGUUAAGGAAGGGAGAAAGGGAGAGUGGGGUCAAAGUUGGAUUGGGGAGAAAUGGAGAAAGAGAUCAAAGCUGUGCAUUCCUUUUUCAAACCCCAUUAGCCAUUCUUCUUCAACUCCUCGAAAUCAAACCAAAGCUGGAUUUUUUUUUCUUUUCUGGGUUUCGUUAAUUUAUUUCUUUAAUUAUUUUGUUUUUCUGGGUUUGAUUAAUUCUUUUUUCUGGGUUUUCUGGUUUAAUUCGUUUUUCUAGGUUCUGUGGUUUUCUGGCUGAGAAGGAGUGAGAGAGAGAGAGGAUGAUUGGUUGAGAAAAGGCUUUGGUGUGAAAGAAGAGGGCUUUGUGUUGUGGGUUUUAUAGCAGAGAGAAAGGUUGAGCUUUUAGGGAAGAAGAGGUUGGAGAAAACACUUUUCCGUGAGAGGAAGCUACAAAUUUCUCAUGGGAAAUGGCGUGAAAGCUUUAAUGGAAAAAGUAUGGAGUUGGUGUGGUGAUGAUGACCAGUAUGAGGUUCAGCAUCCAAAUAGCAAAAAUGAUGGCUUUGGCUUGGAGAAGUAGGCAAUUAUUGAAUCUUGGGAUUUUACCUUAAUGCCCCUCCACUUAUUUAAUAACUAACGGCAAUAGCUGAUGCCCUAACAGAACUAAAAGGAAUCUGACGGAAAUUGAGAAGUGUCCUCGAAUUGCUUGGAUUCUUAAACCACAGUGGCAAAAGUGACGAAAUUGAAACCACAGGGACCUUAGUGGUAAAAGUUGGAAACCACAGGGACUACGACUAUCGUUUUGCC